rnacentral:lncRNA from 1 species
UUUUUUUUUCUUCUUCUUCUUCUUCUUUUUUCUCUCCCCAGCUCUAAGGCUGGGAAUGUAAACAAAAACGAACAGGUAGAGUGCUGGAUUUGGCAUGUGGAUUGCAGUUUGGAUCAAAAAACAAGGCAGGAGAUCCUAUUGCAGCUCAAGGUGUUAAGGACCUGACAUUGUCCCUGUGAGGAUGUGAGUUCCAUCCCUGGCCUCACUCAGUGGGUUAAGGAUUCAGCAUUGCUGCCAGCCGUGGUAUUGGUCAUAGAUGUGGCUCAGAUCUGGUGUUGCUGGCUGUGGCAUAGCUCCGAUUAUACUCCUAGCCUAGAAACUUCCCUAUGCCACGAAUGUGGCCAUAAAAAGAAAAAAAAAAAGAAAAUACAAAACAAACAACAACCAAAAACAAAAAUGCAAGUUCUCCAGCAAAUCUCUACUGAGUUUGUACACAUUAACAUCGCAGAGACCUUAUAUCGCAUUCCUUUAUAGUAAUAGUUUCCUAAAGAGAACUGGGGCCCCAUCAGGGGAGUGAGGUCCUCAAGCAGUCACACAACAGGUCCUCACCAUGCGUGUGGAAGAAAGGAAGGGUGUCAGACGUUGCAGACACCCAGCAUGAGCAUCCUGGGUGCUGAUUCUGCGAUCCAGGGCAAACCUUGAAUACCUAGGCCACCUCCUCUCCAGCCAGUGGCCUUUCACCUGCUUCCACCCUCUUGCAGCCUUGUUGUAGCUUUUCAACUCAUUAGCAGGACCUGAGGGAGUUGUAAGCUUGGCAGAUGCUCCUCAAUGGACCAUGUGGCAGAAGAAGAUUAUAUUCUGUGCCUACUGCUUUUCUGCGACUAAAGCGUUUCUCAAACACUUGGCAAAGAUGUGCCCCGGUGUAGGCAAACCCCAGGAAAAGACACUUACAAACCCAUGCACUCUGUCCCCUUAUUCUCUACACACUCCUAAAUAAAUACACAAAUAAGUUGGGGCACGAUCAUUGAAAAGAGAAUUCUUUACAAAAGAAAUAAUUGCAAGGAAUCGCUAAGUAAUGCUUCCUUAAAAUAAUUCCAAGGUUUCUCUAUUAAUUUGUCAUAACAGCCUUAGAAACUAAUGUGUGUGGGAUUAAUAAGGGAUGUGUCUAGGAGGCCCCAGUCUGGAACUGACCUCCUGGAGCAAAAGUAACAGUAUGAAGUGGCCUUUUCUUCCUCCCUGGCUCCCCUAACUCAGGGUCAGGUGCAUUUGGUGCAGUGGAUUUGAAAGCAAAGGUUGGAUUGUCUGGACCAUAUUGUCAUCCUUUGGAAAGCACUCAGUGUCCUGGAUGUCAGUAAAAGAUAGUCAUUCUGUUGUGCAUGUUAUUUUUCAUGUCAGCGAGAAUGCAUAGUCAAAGCUUAUUUCUUACAUGUGACAAAUGUUUAUCUCCUACCCUUAUUGAGAAGUAGUUCCCAAGUGUUUUAGUCUAAGGACUCUUUUUUUUUUUUUUUUUUUCUUUUUACGGCCACACCUGUGGCAUAUGGCAGUUCCUGGGCCCAGGGUUGAGUCAGAGCUGCAGCUCUGUGGCCUAUGCCACAGCCACAGUAACAAGGCAUCCAAGCUGCAUCUACAACCUACUCUGGAUCCUUGACCCCCUGAGCAAGGCCAGAGGUCAAACCCACCUCCUCAUAGAGACUAUGUCGGGUUCUUAACCCACUGAGCCAGAACGAAAUCUCCUAAGGUCUCUUUACACUCUUAAAAAUCAUUGAGGACCUCAAAUAUCUUUUCUAUGAUGGUUAUAGCUAUUGAUAUUUGCCAUAUUAGAAAUGAAAAAAAGCACAUAUUAGAGAUGUUCUUAUUGCUUUAUUUAAAAUAAUAAGCCUAUUACAUGUUAGCAUAAAUAACGUUUUAUGAAAAAUGAUUAGCAAAAAGAUUAGUAAGAAGCAUAGCAUUUCCCCACAUUUUUGCAGGUCUCUUUAAUAUCUGGCUUAAUAGAAGAUAGCUGAAUUUACAUAUCUACUUCUGUGUUCAAGUUUUUGUGAUAGCACAUUUCCUGACAGGCUCUGGAAAACUGCAGGGUACACACAUGUGAGAGCAUGAAAAGGCCAGUGACAGCCUAAUGUUACUAGUAUUAAUAUAGCAAUAAUUUUUAUGUUAAUAUUAGUUGGUAUCAAUCAUUAAUAUAAAUUAAUGAUAUUAAUAUCACAUUAUAAUAUAAUAUUACUAUGUGAUAGGUUUUGACUUCAUGAAUUAUUGCAGGGCCCCCCACCAGGACUUGCUAGAUUACAUUUUGAGAACCUCUGAUGUAUCAGGACACCCCAAAAAGGUAUUUAUGUUUCUUCAGUAAAACUUAAUCACCUGUCCUGUUGACUAGGUACAAACUUCUCAUUGUGACUACGCUUCUGAAGUUGUGGUUCAAAGAUGGUUGUCACCUGAACAUUUUUAAAAAUGUAAGUGAACAUUUCAAAAUUAGCAUCACUGCCAAUGUACGACAUACGUUGCUCUUCACAGCUGAGAAAGGGUUGGCUGAAAUCGAGAGAUAUAAAGCAAAAGAAGAAUUGUGGCUAAUGACCCACAUUGCCCAUUAAGUUUGGGCUUAUGUGUUUUGGGUUUUGGUUUUUGCACUCUGGCUACAUAGAUUUGUCUUUAUUCACAGAUCAGAAUCCAUCAAUUAUCAAGUUUUUGUUUGUUUGAUUUCAUCCUCAUGGAGCCUAGUUGGGUUCGUUACCGCUGAGCCACAACAGGAACUCCUUAAUCACUUCAGUCUUUAGAAGCAAUCAAGAAACACCUGAGGAGUUCCCGUCCCAUGGUAAAAAACUGGACUAGUAUCCAUGAGGAUGUGGGUUCAAUCCCUGGCCUGCUCAGGGGAUUAAGCAUCUGGCAUUACCAUGAGCUGUGGUAUAGGUCACAGACGUGGCUUGGAUCUGGCAUUGCUGUGGCUGUGGUGUAGACCAACAACUGCAGCUCCGAUUCAACCCCUAGCCUGAGAACUUUCAUAAGCCACAGGUGUGGCCCUAAAAA